rnacentral:pre_miRNA from 1 species
UAGGGUGACCAGCUCUCCCAGUUUGGUCAGGACUGAGGAGUUUCCUGGAAUGUGGGACUUUUCUUGCUAACAGGAAGACAGUUCCAGACAAACUGGGAUGGUUGGUCACCCUAAGGCCAC